ACUGUUAGACUUGAAUUUAUUAGGAAGUAACUAGAAUAUGUAGUGUAGCGGUGAAAUGCUUAGAGAUUACAUGGAAUACCAAUUGCGAAGGCAGGUUACUACUAAUUGAUUGACGCUGAUGGACGAAAGCGUGGGUAGCGAACAGGAUUAGAUACCCUGGUAGUCCACGCCGUAAACGAUGGAUACUAGCUGUUGGAAGCAAUUUCAGUGGCUAAGCGAAAGUGAUAAGUAUCCCACCUGGGGAGUACGUUCGCAAGAAUGAAACUCAAAGGAAUUGACGGGGGCCCGCACAAGCGGUGGAGCAUGUGGUUUAAUUCGAUGAUACGCGAGGAACCUUACCAAGGCUUAAAUGUAGAUUGACCGGUUUGGAAACAGAUCUUUCGCAAGACAAUUUACAAGGUGCUGCAUGGUUGUCGUCAGCUCGUGCCGUGAGGUGUCAGGUUAAGUCCUAUAACGAGCGCAACCCCUGUUGUUAGUUGCCAGCGAGUCAAGUCGGGAACUCUAACAAGACUGCCAGUGCAAACUGUGAGGAAGGUGGGGAUGACGUCAAAUCAUCACGGCCCUUACGCCUUGGGCUACACACGUGCUACAAUGGCCGGUACAGAGAGCAGCCACUGGGCGACCAGGAGCGAAUCUAUAAAACCGGUCACAGUUCGGAUCGGAGUCUGCAACUCGACUCC
rnacentral:rRNA from 1 species